rnacentral:misc_RNA from 1 species
GAUGAAGAACGUAGCGAAAUGCGAUAAGUAAUGUGAAUUACAGAAUUCAGUGAAUCAUCGAAUCUUUGAACGCAUCUUGCGCUCCUUGGUAUUCUGAGGAGCAUGCCUGUUUGAGUGUCAUUAAUUUCUCAACCGCACUGACUUUGAAUUGGUGUGGCUUGGAUUUGGGGGGAAAAUUGUUGUGGGCUUUUUUGUAUAGUCUGCUCCCCUGAAAUUGAUUAGCGGUACCUUUGUGGAACUGUCUACAGGUGUGAUAAUUAUCUACAUCCUAGACAUCUGCUGGAAUGCUGCUUUCUAAACCUUACUUGUAUUGACAAUCUUGACCUCAAAUCAGGUAGGACUACCCGCUGAACUUAAGCAUAUCAAUAAGCGGAGGA